rnacentral:rRNA from 1 species
AUUGAACGCUGGCGGCAGGCCUAACACAUGCAAGUCGAACGAGUGGCGGACGGGUGAGUAAUGUCUGGUAAACUGCCCGAUGGAGGGGGAUAACUACUGGAAACGGUAGCUAAUACCGCAUACAAUCGGAUGUGGCCAGAUGGGAAUAGCUUGUAGGUGGGGUAACGGCUCACCUAGGCGACGAUCCCUAGCUGGUCUGAGAGGAUGACCAGACAAACUGGAACUGAGAGACGGUCCAGACUAUUACGGGAGGCAGCAGUGGGGAAUAUUGCACAAUGGGCGCAAGCCUGAUGCAGCAAUGCCGCGUGUAUGAAGAAGGUCUUCGGGUUGUAAAGUACUGUCAGCGGGGAGGCGGUACCCGCAGAAGAAGCAACGGCUAACUCCGUGCCAGCAGCCGCGGUAAUUC